CAGUGGGGAAUAUUGCACAAUGGGCGCAAGCCUGAUGCAGCCAUGCCGCGUGUAUGAAGAAGGCCUUCGGGUUGUAAAGUACUUUCAGCAGUGAGGAAGGUGGGUAUGUUAAUAGCAUACUCAUUUGACGUUAGCUGCAGAAGAAGCACCGGCUAACUCCGUGCCAGCAGCCGCGGUAAUACGGAGGGUGCGAGCGUUAAUCGGAAUUACUGGGCGUAAAGCGCAUGCAGGUGGUUUGUUAAGUCAGAUGUGAAAGCCCGGGGCUCAACCUCGGAAUUGCAUUUGAAACUGGCAAACUAGAGUACUGUAGAGGGGGUAGAAUUUCAGGUGUAGCGGUGAAAUGCGUAGAGAUCUGAAGGAAUACCGGUGGCGAAGGCGGCCCCCUGGACAGAUACUGACACUCAGAUGCGAAAGCGUGGGGAGCAAACAGGAUUAGAUACCCUGGUAG
rnacentral:rRNA from 1 species